GGUCUUAGCUUGCUAAGGCCGAUGGCGACCGGCGCACGGGUGAGUAACACGUAUCCCCUUUGCCGUCUACUCUUGGACAGCCUUCUGAAAGGAAGAUUCAUACAAGAUGGCAUCAUGAGUCCACAUGUUCACAUGAUUAAAGGUAUUCCGGUAGACGAUGGGGAUGCGUUCCAUUAGAUAGUAGGCGGGGUAACGGCCCACCUAGUCUUCGAUGGAUAGGGGUUCUGAGAGGAAGGUCCCCCACAUUGGAACUGAGACACGGUCCAAACUCCUACGGGAGGCAGCAGUGAGGAAUAUUGGUCAAUGGGCGAGAGCCUGAACCAGCCAAGUAGCGUGAAGGAUGACUGCCCUAUGGGUUGUAAACUUCUUUUAUAAAGGAAUAAAGUCGGGUAUGGAUACCCGUUUGCAUGUACUUUAUGAAUAAGGAUCGGCUAACUCCGUGCCAGCAGCCGCGGUAAUACGGAGGAUCCGAGCGUUAUCCGGAUUUAUUGGGUUUAAAGGGAGCGUAGAUGGAUGUUUAAGUCAGUUGUGAAAGUUUGCGGCUCAACCGUAAAAUUGCAGUUGAUACUGGAUAUCUUGAGUGCAGUUGAGGCAGGCGGAAUUCGUGGUGUAGCGGUGAAAUGCUUAGAUAUCACGAAGAACUCCGAUUG
rnacentral:rRNA from 1 species